UACAGAGGUCUCAAGCGUUGUUCGGAUUCAUUGGGCGUAAAGGGUGCGUAGGUGGCGCUGUAAGUCGGGUGUGAAAUUUCGGAGCUUAACUCCGAAACUGCAUUCGAUACUGCGGUGCUUGAGGACUGGAGAGGAGACUGGAAUUCAUGGUGUAGCAGUGAAAUGCGUAGAGAUCAUGAGGAAGACCAGUGGCGAAGGCGGGUCUCUGGACAGUAACUGACGCUGAGGCACGAAGGCCAGGGGAGCAAACGGG
rnacentral:rRNA from 1 species